UACGAAGGGGGCUAGCGUUGCUCGGAAUCACUGGGCGUAAAGCGCACGUAGGCGGCUUUCUAAGUCAGGGGUGAAAUCCUGGAGCUCAACUCCAGAACUGCCUUUGAUACUGGAGAGCUUGAGUCCGGGAGAGGUGAGUGGAACUCCGAGUGUAGAGGUGAAAUUCGUAGAUAUUAGGAAGAACACCAGUGGCGAAGGCGGCUCACUGGCCCGGAACUGACGCUGAGGUACGAAAGCGUGGGGAGCAAACAGG
rnacentral:rRNA from 1 species